rnacentral:rRNA from 1 species
GUGAGGAAUAUUGGUCAAUGGGCGCAAGCCUGAACCAGCCAUCCCGCGUGCAGGAAGACGGCGCUAUGCGUUGUAAACUGCUUUUCCAGGGAGAGAAACUUGUGCACGUGUUGCGCAAUUGACGGUACCCUGGGCAUAAGCAUCGGCUAACUCCGUGCCAGCAGCCGCGGUAAUACUGAGGAUGCGAGCGUUAUCCGGAUUCAUUGGGUUUAAAGGGUGCGUAGGCGGACUAUUAAGUCAGUGGUGAAAUCCUGCUGCUUAACUGCAGAACUGCCAUUGAUACUGAUAGCAUUGAGUUUGGUGAAGGUAGGCGGAAUGGGUAAUGUAGCGGUGAAAUGCUUAGAUAUUACACAGAACACCAAUAGCGUGGGCAGCUUACAGAGCCGACACAGACGCUGUGGCACGAAAGCGUGCGGAUCGAACAGGAUUAGAUACCGCAGUAGUCC